CCAACGUGGAUAUCCGGAGAAGUCGCUCUCUCUCGGCUCUGUCCGUGUGGCGCGUGGGAGCGUAGGCCUCCGGGCCCGUGACGUACGGUCCCUUUCCACGACGUUGGAGAACAAGCCCGGGCCUCGAGUCCGCAGCCUGCAUAUUCCUACUGGAGAACCCCCCCCCAAGGAGCAAUUACUU
rnacentral:snoRNA from 1 species